UACGUAUGGGGCAAGCGUUAUCCGGAUUUACUGGGUGUAAAGGGAGCGUAGGCGGCGGGGCAAGCCUGAUGUGAAAGCCCGGGGCUCAACCCCGGGACUGCAUUGGGAGCUGCCCUGCUGGAGUGCCGGAGGGGCAGGCGGAAUUCCUAGUGUAGCGGUGAAAUGCGUAGAUAUUAGGAGGAACACCAGUGGCGAAGGCGGCCUGCUGGACGGUGACUGACGCUGAGGCUCGAGAGCGUGGGGAGCAAACAGG
rnacentral:rRNA from 1 species